rnacentral:rRNA from 1 species
ACAAUGGGGGGUACAGAAGGCAGCUACCGGGCGACCGGAUGCCAAUCCCAAAAACCUCUCUCAGUUCGGAUCGAAGUCUGCAACCCGACUUCGUGAAGCUGGAUUCGCUAGUAAUCGCGCAUCAGCCAUGGCGCGGUGAAUACGUUCCCGGGCCUUGUACACACCGCCCGUCAAGCCAUGAAAGCCGGGGGUACCUGAAGUACGUAACCGCAAGGAGCGUCCUAGGGUAAAACUGGUAAUUGGGGCUAAGUCGUAACAAGGUAAC